GCAAGACGGAAAGACCCCGUGAACCUUUACUAUAGCUUGACACUGAACAUUGAGCCUUGAUGUGUAGGAUAGGUGGGAGGCUUUGAAGUGUGGACGCCAGUCUGCAUGGAGCCGACCUUGAAAUACCACCCUUUAAUGUUUGAUGUUCUAACGUGGACCCGUGAUCCGGGUUGCGGACAGUGUCUGGUGGGUAGUUUGACUGGGGCGGUCUCCUCCUAAAGAGUAACGGAGGAGCACGAAGGUUGGCUAAUCCUGGUCGGACAUCAGGAGGUUAGUGCAAUGGCAUAAGCCAGCUUGACUGCGAGCGUGACGGCGCGAGCAGGUGCGAAAGCAGGUCAUAGUGAUCCGGUGGUUCUGAAUGGAAGGGCCAUCGCUCAACGGAUAAAAGGUACUCCGGGGAUAACAGGCUGAUACCGCCCAAGAGUUCAUAUCGACGGCGGUGUUUGGCACCUCGAUGUCGGCUCAUCACAUCCUGGGGCUGAAGUAGGUCCCAAGGGUAUGGCUGUUCGCCAUUUAAAGUGGUACGCGAGCUGGGUUUAGAACGUCGUGAGACAGUUCGGUCCCUAUCUGCCGUGGGCGCUGGAGAACUGAGGGGGGCUGCUCCUAGUACGAGAGGACCGGAGUGGACGCAUCACUGGUGUUCGGGUUGUCAUGCCAAUGGCACUGCCCGGUAGCUAAAUGCGGAAGAGAUAAGUGCUGAAAGCAUCUAAGCACGAAACUUGCCCCGA
rnacentral:rRNA from 1 species